AAGCAUGUGAUGAAUUACUCGGAUUCCCCUUCAGGACUUUUUGGAUGAUGCAGAUUCGAGUUUCUGAUGCU
rnacentral:snoRNA from 1 species